GGGCGGACCGGAGCCGGAGGCGGAUUUGGAGUCUGGUCCCGCCGUCUGUCGGGGCCGCAGUACCCCUGUGCGGACGAAGCUCGUCCCAGCCAAGUCUCGGCGCCAUGGGGGCGGAGUAGAAGCUGCUGUCGGUUAAGGAGGCCUUUCAACUGGCGCAGCAGCCGCACCAGAACCAGGCGAAGUUCGAGGUGGCGCUGAGCCGCACCUACUGCAAGAAGGCAGUUAGAACAUACAGAGAACUCAUGGAGAGAGGAAAGGCCAUGUGAGGACACUGGAAGAAGACACGUACAAGCCAAGAAAAGGGCCCUCAGGAGAACCCAGACCUGCUGACAGUUUGAUCCUCAGAAGUCCAGCCUCCAAAACCAAGAAAAUAAAUUUCUGUUGUUUAAGC